AUGGCCAUACCAUGCUGAAUAUGCCGGUUGUCGUUCGAUCACCGAAGUCAACAUUCAUCGGGCGCGACCGGUACUUGGGAGUGACCACCUGGAAACACCACGUGCCGUU